rfam:Chlorocebus sabaeus isolate 1994-021 chromosome 2, whole genome shotgun sequence.
GCCGGGCGCUGUGGUGGGCGCCUGUAGUCCCAGCUACUCGGGAAGCUGAGGCAGGAGAAUGGCGUGAACCCGGGAAGCGGAGCUUGCAGCGAGCCGAGAUCCGGCCCCUUUACCCCCGCCUGGGCGGCAGAACAAGACCCCGUUCCAAAAAAAAANNNNNNNNNNUUUUUUUUUGGAACGGGGUCUUGUUCUGCCGCCCAGGCGGGGGUAAAGGGGCCGGAUCUCGGCUCACUGCAGGCUCCGCCUCCCGGGUUCACGCCAUUCUCCUGCCUCAG